rnacentral:rRNA from 1 species
GGGCCCGCACAAGCGGUGGAGUAUGUGGUUUAAUUCGAUGCAACGCGAAGAACCUUACCAGGGUUUGACAUCCUGCGAAUCUCUUGGAAACGAGAGAGUGCCUUCGGGGACGCAGUGACAGGUGCUGCAUGGCUGUCGUCAGCUCGUGUCGUGAGAUGUUCGGUUAAGUCCGGCAACGAGCGCAACCCACAUCCCUAGUUGCCAGCAGUUCGGCUGGGCACUCUAUGGAAACUGCCCGUGAUAAGCGGGAGGAAGGUGUGGAUGACGUCAAGUCCUCAUGGCCCUUACGGGUUGGGCUACACACGUGCUACAAUGCUACGGACAAGGGCAGCAAGUCGCGAGGACAAGCAAAUCCCAUAAACCGUGGCUCAGUUCAGAUCGUAGGCUGCAACUCGCCUACGUGAAGGCGGAAUCGCUAGUAAUCGC